rnacentral:lncRNA from 1 species
CUUCCACAGCCAUCCAUCAACCCUCCACAACUGUCCAAAGCAAUUCCCACAAUUGCUUAAAAGAUCGUCGCCGAAUUCCGCCAUCAUCUCCACCACCGCGGAUCAUCCUUUGAUCUCCCCGUGAAUUGCAACAGGUUCUGGUUUUCUACCUUACUGCUGCUGUAAUUUAGUUAUCCUUAUUCGAAAAUCCAAAAAAAAAAAUUGUUCCUAUAUUGCUGCAUAAACUUUUCGUCACAAAGUUUUCAUCUCUACGACGAAAGAUACAUUGCAGAAUUCCAACCGCAUAGCACCAUCUAUUUGAUCUUGCUACU